rnacentral:lncRNA from 1 species
CAAGAGGGGAGAGGCUUCUCACGCUUGAUAAAUCUGGAAUAGUUGUUCAAAAAGGAAAAUCUUUCACACCAGAACUCCUUGUAUCCUUCCCAGUGUUUCUUGAAGAAACCCUUUUGAGAUUCUGCCGCGUCAGCUUCAGCCAUGGAUUCAAUCUCUUGAUUGAUCAAUCAAUUGGUUAAUGGGUAGGCAAUAAUUUUGAUGAUUUUCGUUUUGGACUUGUUGGCUGGUUAUAUAAUUUUUGAUCUUUUAUAUGAAGAUAGUGAUGGCAGUACCACCUUUGCCUUUGUGGGCUGCUGAUUAAGGUUGGGGAGCGUGGCGAAGGUAAGCCUGGUCUAAGUUUUCAACCCGGUUCAUCUGGUUCGAACAUUAUUAACUCGAAACAAUUCAGGCAGUAUUAAUUUAACUCCCUUAAUAAAAUCUGGAAAAGAAUCCCAGUUUUAAAUUAAUUUUGUUAUAGAUUUUUCAGUUUCCUUCUAUCAUUUUUUUUUUCAUUUUUUGGUUGUCCUUUUGAUUUCUUUGCUUUUCAUCUGUGUUGAACAAAUGCUCGUUGUGUUGUUAAAGGUUUUAAAUAAAGUUAUAUAUCCUAACCUAAAAUUAAAAGAGAUUGAACAUGAUAGAAAAAGGAUAAUAGGAUGGGACUUAUAUCCUUCAAAGGAUAUCUCCUUAAAUUCUAUGGAUUAGAUGUACAAGUUCCAUACCUACAAAAAACUUUAAUCCUGUCACUCUUGAUGAGUGAAUGAUACAAAAAACUCCUAGUUGUUUACUGUCAAAGUGAGCAACAUUGUAGGACAAGUUAGCCACUGAAUGUGUACACAAGUUAAUUAGAAUGUUUAGUAUUCAAUCACCGCAUUGGUGAAUGUGUACGCGCUAAUGGAGAGACCCUGCAACAUGGGAAAAGCUUAUGUACAACUCCCACCAGAUCCUAGGAAUACAUAUAAAGGCUAAUGCCACUGAAGAUAUGUUUCCUUUAUCAGUUUAACCUAUUCUCUUUCAAAUCCCUGAUCCAGGGUAUUCUUUUGGGGAGAGCAAGAAGCAUGAACUAGCUGUCUAAAUGCCAGAGAGAACACUAAACAGAGAGGCAAAUACAAGUGAAAAGCCAAUAUCUGUAGUGUAACAAGAAUCCAGUUUUUACACUAGAAGAGAUCAUCUUAAAAAAGCAAUUGCUCAAAAAAAAAAAACUUAAAAAAGUGAUCAACUUUACAUAUGGCUGCAACCUUCAACCACCCCAAACCUGAGAACCAAAACGAGGGCGGCAAUGACAAACAUUAUUCACAACCGACGUCGAGUCAAACUGAUAAUAAAAGCCUUGACCAACUACAUUUUCAUCUCUUCCUCUUGGACGCAGAUCCGGAUCCCCGUCCUCCACCCUUCUUUUCAGCAGGUUCAGAACUGCGUUUUCCUCUUGCUGACGAUCCCUUCUUGGCACUUGAAUUUUCAGAACCUUUCAAGUUCAGUUGUACUUCAAUGCCUAAAAGUAUUCAGAGGAAAAAUAUCAGAGGCUAUCAGAGGCAACAAUAGAAAAAAAAAAAGCAAUGGCAUGCACUGCAAGGUAAAGAAAGAAUGCAUACUAAAGCAAUUAAAGAUCAAUUAUAGGAAUAAAAACUAGUGGCUUGUAGGAAUAAAAUUACCAACCUUUCGACUUCAGGCUUUGGAGAUCUGCUUGCAGCCCUUUAUCUGUAUUAUCUGAGUCUUCUGCCACAGCACAAGGAAAAGUGAGUAGCUUGAUUAUUUGAAUUUCUGAAAACAUAUAUACUACAACAGAAGUAUUUUAGAUGAAUUAAGGCAACAGUGACAGACAACCGUCAGAACAAUGGACAUUCAGAUGUUCCACUUCCUAAAGCAAGGACUUCCAGGGCAGAUGAGAAAACGACUAUACUGAUUGAUAGUCAAAUGCAUGCCUGCCAAGAGCAGCACACAAUUCCCAACAGCUAAAUUCUAUUAAACUGUAAUCAAUUAACAGAGUCCAACUUUAAAAGUUUCUCAGAGAAGCAAGACAUAAGCAUAUAGUAUGCAUAGUUGCACAUUUUCUUCUCUCCCAUGUUUGUUUUCCUUUUUACCAUUAAUGAUUCUCUGGCAAAACCUUCUUUUUUCUGCAGGAUAAUUUUUGGCUCUUUGGUUCUUUCUCCCCAGUUGUUUUCCAGAAAAUGGGGAAAGAGGGGGAAAAUUUUUUUUUUUGACAUUUUAAAGUCAAGAUGAACUCAGAAUAUAGAUCAAGAGUCUGAAGAAUUGCCCUGGCUGUACAAAUUAGGCUACCAAAGUACACACAACGCAUCCAUAAGCUUACAUAUUCAACUAAUAUCAAAAGAUAGAUUGCUAAUUAAGUGCAUGCUUGUUUAGUAACAGUUAUGUUAAGCACUAGAGACUUUUUCAAUGCUCAUACUUAAGAAAUGAACAAAUACAUAAACUUUGAGAAACAACCAAAAAAACCCCUUUUGAUCUAAUAUAUUCUCUUUAAAAGACUUCCAUAUUGGAAAGCAUGUCAUGCCAUAAAAGGAGAAGUUUUGGCACAACGAUUGAGUCAUGCAAACAAAUCUUCCGAAUGGACUUCUUUUAUCCAUUUUUUUGCUGGAAAAGGGAAAAUUGAAGAGGGAAAAUACCCAAGUCUUCUGCGUCUGAAGAAUUCUCUUCAUUUUCUUCUAAUGCAUCACCAUUCUCCUCCGCUAAACUUUCUUCCACUGGUUCCAGCAUUGCAGCAACCCGUUUCUUAAGGGCCUUCUUUGUCCCAGGAACCAUAUCUACAGUCUUAAUCACACGUGAGCCGCUUCCAUCUCUUCUCUGGAAAGACACCAGAUCCGCUGUCCGAAUCUUACGUGAGUCCGUCCCUAUUUUGUAAGCCUUUGUUAGAGCAGCUUUGACAGCAGGCUGAACUCCAUCCAUAGGACUUGGGUGCCCCUGAUGCACAUUGACAAUGGACUUAUAAGUAGCAUUUUCAAGCAAGUAAAAGAAGGAAAGCAAAGUACAUGAUGUACACUAGCUAUACCUUGAACUUGGAUAUCUCCAAUAUAGUAUCAAAAUCUUCCUGACUGAUGGAGUAUGAAUCCAUGAAAUUUACUACCUUCUCUACAGCUUCAUCCUGGUGAUUAUACUCAGAAAAUAUUUUCACAACCAAUUUUACAUGUAACUCAGUUAUAUUAACAAAGGAAAGAACAUCAAACCUUGGGCAGCACUCGUACU